rnacentral:rRNA from 1 species
CCAUGCCGCGUGAGUGAAANGGCUUCGGGUUGUAAAGCUCUUUCAGCCGGGAAGAAAUCGCACAGGCUAAUACCUUGUGUGGAUGACGGUACCGGAAUAAGAAGCACCGGCUAACUACGUGCCAGCAGCCGCGGUAAUACGUAGGGUGCGAGCGUUAAUCGGAAUUACUGGGCGUAAAGCGUGCGCAGGCGGUUUUGUAAGACAGGCGUGAAAUCCCCGGGCUCAACCUGGGAACUGCGCUUGUGACUGCAAGGCUAGAGUACGGCAGAGGGGGGUGGAAUUCCACGUGUAGCAGUGAAAUGCGUAGAGAUGUGGAGGAACACCAAUGGCGAAGCAGCCCCCUGGGUCGAUACUGACGCUCAUGCACGAAAGCGUGGGUAGCAAACAGGAUUAGAUACCCUGGUA